UGGGCGAAAGCCUGAUCCAGUCAUGCCGCGUGUGUGAAGAAGGUCUUCGGAUUGUAAAGCACUUUAAGUUGGGAGGAAGGGCAGUAAGUUAAUACCUUGCUGUUUUGACGUUACCAACAGAAUAAGCACCGGCUAACUU
rnacentral:rRNA from 1 species